rnacentral:rRNA from 1 species
UUCUGGCUCAGGAUGAACGCUGGCGGCGUGCCUAAUACAUGCAAGUGAAACGGGUAUCUUCGGAUACCAGUCGCGGACGGGUGAGUAAUACAUAGGCAACCUGCCUUUAUGAGGGGGAUAACCGAGGGAAACUUUGGCUAAUACCGCAUGAAGACUCUAAGGCAUCUUAGAGGGAUAAAAGUUGGGAAACAACGCAUGAAGAUGGGCUUAUGGCGCAUUAGCUAGUUGGUGAGAUAGAAGCCCACCAAGGUAAUGAUGCGUAGCCGACCUGAGAGGGUGAACGGCCACAUUGGGACUGAGACACGGCCCAAACUCCUACGGGAGGCAGCAGUAGGGAAUUUUCGGCAAUGGGGGGAACCCUGACCGAGCAACGCCGCGUGAAGGAAGAAGGUUUUCGGAUUGUAAACUUCUGUUAUAAGGGAAGAACGGAUUGGAUAGGGAAUGAUCUGAUAGUGACGGUACCUUAUUAGAAAGCCACGGCUAACUACGUGCCAGCAGCUGC